AUGUCGCUGCAGGAUGGCGACGGCGGCACGCUAGACCUGCCGCAUUUGGUGCAAUCCGUGGUAUGCGCGGAGUGGACGGCCGAGGUGAUUGGCGUGGAGCUGGUGCGACCAGGCGUCGCGCCGUGGCGGAGGGAAGGAGGAGAAGGAGAGAUGUUAGGGACGGCCAGUGUGGUUGCUCCGGUGAUGGCGUCCUGCGGGGGGCUUAGAAGCAACGGCUGCCAUUGA
rnacentral:rRNA from 1 species